rnacentral:rRNA from 1 species
UACGAAGGGGGCUAGCGUUGCUCGGAAUCACUGGGCGUAAAGCGCACGUAGGCGGAUUGCUAAGUCAGGGGUGAAAUCCUGGGCUCAACUCCAGAACUGCCUUUGAUACUGGCGAUCUUGAGUCCGGGAGAGGUGAGUGGAACUGCGAGUGUAGAGGUGAAAUUCGUAGAUAUUCGCAAGAACACCAGUGGCGAAGGCGGCUCACUGGCCCGGUACUGACGCUGAGGUGCGAAAGCGUGGGGAGCAAACAGG